GUAUAAAAGUUGCACUUGACUUUGUAUCACCUGAAAGUAUGAAAGAAUGCAUGCGGCUAUCUAAAGAGUUUCGCGCCCUUCCUCAUAAGCAUAAGGCUAAGCAGGACAAACUAGAGGUGAUGAAAAUGUGUAUUUAUGGUUUAAGUAAUGCUGUACAAGAAUUGGAGAAACUCAAUGAAUGAGUUUAGGUUAGGGAAAGGAAGAACAAGGAGAGGAAGGUAUGGUAGAUUUUUUGAUAUGACACUUGGGAUUUUUAUUUACCAACAAUUCUUGUAUUUUUUACAUGCAAUGGUGGAAGGUUUAAGGCGUGUAUGAAUUAUGCUUACUCUUU